rnacentral:lncRNA from 1 species
UUUUUUUUUUUUGGUCUUUUUUUUUUCUUUAGGGUGGCAUCUAUGGCUUAUGGAGGUUCCCAGGCUAAAGGUCAAAUCAGAGCUGUAGCUGCUGGCCUGUGCCAGAGCAACAUGGGAUCCAAGCCAUGUCUGCAACCUAUACCACAGCUCACAGCAAUGCUGGAUCCCUAACCCACUGAGCAAGGCCAGGGAUCAAACCUGCGUCCUCACAGAUGCUAGCCAGAUUUGUUUCCGCCGAGCUAUAAUGGGAACUCCCACUUAUUUUUUUCUUUUUUCUUUUUUCCCACAAUUCCUUACUAACAUAAAAACCCUUCUUCCAUUUCAACCAUGAGCUGUACAGAGACAGGCCUGGCCCAUGUGCGGUUUGCUGAACCCUGGCCUAAGCAAAAUAAAUGGGUGUCUGGUGGUGACCUCAGGCCAACAGGGCCUAUGAAACUUGUGAAAGCAGCUGAGGAUCCUCCUGCUUGAGUCAGAACAAUGACUGGACUAUACCUAAGCAUGGGUUCCAAACAGCUGGGAUACUGGACCUUGUGUAUUUGUGUCGCCAGCCCCUGAACGCAGCCAUGAUCCUUCCAGCCAGGAACUUAAAAAUGCUCUUUCUGACUAAACUCAAAUUCUGCCUCCUCCGGAAAGUCUUCUCUGACUUCUGAGGCACACCUACCCCUUCUCUGACCCCUCAACACUCCCUGGCACAGCAGCCUCUCAGGAUGUGGCAAUACUGAUUAUGACAACAGCCACUAAUCUCCUCCUAAGCUUUAUGAUUCACCUAACACUUUUAUCAUCAUUAUCUCACCUGAGCUUCAAUUGCAGCCAGAGAGAAGGGUUUUAAGAGGUCAAGUGUCUAAGGUCACAUUACCGGGAAGAAGCAAAUAGGACUUGAAUCCGAGGCUGCCUGGCUCCUUCCGUCAUUCAUCCAGUUCUCCCUUCAUCUGUUUUCCUUCCCUGAGUGCUUGUAAUUUCCCUGAAGUCAAGAACCAUGCCUUUUGCUUCUCUGUAGCCAUCCCGACAAAGCCUGAUCACUCUGGGCCCAGCGCUUACCAACUACUCAGUAAAUACCUGGGCUGGACGUGGAGGGAAGCCAGUGGGGGCAGGUGGAGAGACAUCGCAGGCCAUCAUGGUGCAGUGAGGGAGGUGGGAGUGAGGCAGCCUCAUCUCGUCCUCACCCACAGAUCCGGACACAAAAUAUCACCCCAGGAGGUGACACUGCGGAAGCAGAACCAGGGACCACACCUCACACCUUCUGGUCCCCUCCCAUCACAUGCUCUCCCUGCAUCUCUUCCCAAGCUGGUCCCCAUAAGCACACAAGGAGGGGUGUGAUGUACUACAGAGCUUUUCACACUGGGGGACUAGACUUAUUCACGAUCAUAAAAUCAAUGUGGUGGCUCAUAACUGGCAUUUUUAUGAAUGAAAUGGGGUCCAGAACUUACCGACUACUCAGUAAAUACCUGAGUAGCAUUUCACAUUCUGAGGUAAGGCUGGAUGAAUGUUGUUUGGUGAAACUUUUGUUUGCUGUGUCUACCUGUGUCUGUGGACAAGGACAUGUGUACUCUUUUUUAAUGGCCUCACCUGCAGCAUAUGGAAAUUCCUGGGCCAGGGACAGAAUCCGAGCCACAGCUGUGACCUAGCUGUGGCAAUGCCAGAUCCUUUAAUCCACUGCACCAGGCUGGGGAUCAAACUCAUGCCUCCUCAGCAACCAAGAUUACUGCCUUCGUAUUCUUAGUCCACUGCACCACUGAGGGAACUCCAUACAUGUCUAUUUUUUUUGUUUGUUUUUGGCAAUAUAAAAGUUCAAACAGGAGUUCCCGUCAUGGUGCAAUGAUUAGCGAACCCAACUGGCAUCCAUGAGGAUGCGGGUUCAAUCCCUGGCCUUGUUCAGUGGGUUGAGGAUCUGGCAUUGCUGUGAGCUGUGGUGUGGGUCACAGACAUGGCUUGGAUCCCUCGUUGCUGUGGCUCUGGUGUAGGCCGGCAGCUACUGCUCCGAUUGGACCCCUAGACUGGGAGUCUCCAUAUGCCAUAGGUCCAGCCCUAAAAAGACAAAAAGACCGAAAAAAAUUUUUUUUCAAACAACUCAAACCAAGUGGUUAUACCACAAGCUCUAGAGUCCAUCUACCUGGAGUCAAAUCGACCUCUACCACUUAAAUGCUGUUACCUUAGGCAGUUGCCUUAAACUUUCUGUACUUCAGCUUGCUCAUAUGUAGUCAGUAACUAUACCCACUUCCUAGCAAUUUGGGGAGGAUUCAAUGAAUCAAUUUAUCAAAGGGCUCUUAGAACACCUGGCACACAGCAAGGACUCAAAAUCCAAAAAGUUAACUAAUGCGACUGGUACCCACGAUCAUCCCUAUAACACUGCUGCAGGAUGCAGAUGAGGGGACAGACUAGUGUUAUCCCAUUUGACCGAUGGACACUGGGGCAGAAGGAGAUGGACAGAGCAGUGAGCCCAACCAGAGCCCAGAGUUCUCACUCCUUCUCUACCCACAGGGUAGCACCAUCCCACAUCACCUAAGUUUCUUCCAGCCUUGGUGGGGUGAGGGGGAUGCUGUUUACUAAGCUGAACAUAAUUACAAAUAUUACCUGCUCCCAGCACCUCGCCGCUUGGUGAUGAGGAUUGGUGAGACACUGUCUAUAAAGUGCUUAGAGUGCCUCGAAGACAAGUGCUGUAUAAAUUCAGAAUGUCAUUUUAACAUUCUCAUUAUUAUUAUUAUUAAAAUGGGCAAAAUGGAGAGAACAUGAUUUCAGCAAUGAGAGUUUUAAUGGGUGCCGGUAAUGUAGAUUCUGGGAACGACCGGUUAUCUUGGUGCCUACAUCUCAGAUCCACUCGAGCAACAUAAGUGAUGUCUAAGCCAUCAACUUUGUUUAUUUCACAAGGAAACUCAUCUUUCCCUCAGCCUGGGGCAGAGUUUUUCUGUGUUUCUGGAAAGAAAGCUCAGUUUGAUGACACUUUCCCCAAAAUUCAUUUUGAUAUAUCGAUUGCCAUAUAUGCCCUGGCCUUAUACGUACUCAAAGAAAACAUCAUUGGGUUCAUUUAUCAAAUGUUCUUGCCCCGACUGGGAUGCCGGGUCUUGGAGCUGCUCUUGCUCAUGCAUACUUCUCAAAAGCAGUUUUAGAAGUGUUAGGGACUGCAGAGAGCGUUGGGGUCUAAACCUCUCCAUCUGGGAUAAGCCCACAGCCAGAGUACCAGUGACUAUUCCACAGGCUCCUGAAAGCCAUCAAGUCUCAUCUUUGCUGGGCUUCCACUGUUACACCAUGAAAAGGAAUUUAAAACAUUCUUAGGAGAUGGGAUGAAGAUGGCAGAACAGAAGGACAGGAGCUCAACUUCUCUCUUAAAAACAACAAAAUUCACAACUAAAGACUUGAGCAUUCGUCACCCAAAUGGACUGGAAACCUUAAAAAAGAAUACUACUCCAGAAGAAAAGGAGGAGGACACAUCAAGAGGUAGGAAGGGCAAUUUCACGAUAACAACCCCAUACCUCCUGGGUGGGAAGCUCCACAAACUAGAAAGUAACUGGUUCACAGAGACUCACCUACAGGAGUGAGAGUUCUGAGGCCCACAACAAACCCUCACGUGUAGGGAUCUGGAACUGGGAGAAAGAGCCCCUGGAGCAUCUGGCAUUGAAG